rnacentral:rRNA from 1 species
AGAGUUUGAUCCUGGCUCAGAGCGAACGCUGGCGGCACGCCUAACACAUGCAAGUCGCGCGGGGGGCCUCGGCCCCCAGCGGCGGACGGGCGAGGAGCGCGUGGGCGGACCUGCCCCGUGGUGGGGGACAACCCCGGGAAACUGGGGCUGCUACCGCAUGGCCCCCUCGGGGGAAAGCCGGGAGGCGCCAUGGGAGGGGCCCGCGCCCGAUUAGCUGGCCGGUGGGGUAGUGGCCCACCGUGGCGCCGGUCGGUAGCCGGCCUGAGAGGGCGGCCGGCCGCACCGGGACUGAGACACGGCCCGUACGCCUACGGGAGGCAGCAGUGGGGAAUCUUGGGCAAUGGGCGCAAGCCUGACCCAGCGAUGCCGCGUGGGUGAGGAAGGCCCUCGGGUCGUAAAGCCCUUUCGGCGGGGGCGAUGGUGACGGUACCCGCAGAAGAAGCCCCGGCUAACCUCGUGCCAGCCGCCGCGGUAAUAC